GACGGAGGAGGCUAGCGUUGUUCGGAAUUACUGGGCGUAAAGCGCACGUAGGCGGAUCGUUAAGUCGGGGUGAAUACUGGAGCUCAACUCCAGAACUGCCUUCGAUACUGGCGAUCUUGAGUCCGGAAGAGGUGAGUGGAACUCCUAGUGUAGAGGUGGAAUUCGUAGAUAUUAGGAAGAACACCAGUGGCGAAGGCGGCUCACUGGUCCGGUACUAACGCUGAGGUGCG
rnacentral:rRNA from 1 species